rnacentral:rRNA from 1 species
GACGAACGCUGGCGGCGUGCUUAACACAUGCAAGUCGAACGGUGAAGCGCCUUCCUUUUUGGUGGGUGUGGAUGAGUGGCGAACGGGUGAGUAACACGUGAGUAACCUGCCCCCUUCUUCUGGAUAACCGCAUGAAAGUGUGGCUAAUACGGGAUAUUCUGGGUCUGUCGCAUGAUGGGUCUGGGAAAGAUAUUGUUUCGGUGGGGGAUGGGCUCGCGGCCUAUCAGCUUGUUGGUGGGGUGAUGGCCUACCAAGGCGGUGACGGGUAGCCGGCCUGAGAGGGUGGACGGUCACACUGGGACGGAGACACGGCCCAGACUCCUACGGGAGGCAGCAGUGGGGAAUAUUGCACAAUGGGCGCAAGCUUGAUGCAGCGACGCCGCGUGAGGGAUGGAGGCCUUCGGGUUGUGAACCUCUUUCGCCAGUGAAGCAGGCCUGCCUCGUUUGUGGGUGGGUUGACGGUAGCUGGAUAAGAAGCGCCGGCUAACUACGUG